rnacentral:rRNA from 1 species
GUCUAUGGCCACACCACCCUGAACAGGCCUGAUCUCAGAAGCGAAGCAGGGUCGGGCCUGGUUAGUACUUGGAUGGGAGAAGUUAGAGUAGAUGAUGGAUCAGUGAGCAAAAGCUGGGCUCAGUCAAGGGCC